UGGUGGCUUCAACUUCGGCGCGGCCGUGCCCCAGGGCGGGUUCAAUUUC
rnacentral:tRNA from 13 species